rnacentral:rRNA from 1 species
GGUGAACGCUGGCGGCGUGCCUAACACAUGCAAGUCGAGCGGUGCAGUUUGAAGCUUCGGUGGAAAGCUGCAUAGCGGCGGACGGGUGAGGAAAACGUAGGAACGUGCCCCUUGGAGUUGGAUAGCCACGGGAAACUGUGGGUAAACCGACAUAGACUCGAGAGAGUAAAGGCCGAAAGGCGCCAAGGGAGCGGCCUGCGGCCCAUCAGGUAGUUGGUAGUGUAAAGGACUACCAAGCCGACGACGGGUAGCCGGUCUGAGAGGAUGGCCGGCCACAAGGGCACUGAGAGACGGGCCCUACUCCUACGGGAGGCAGCAGUGGGGGAUUUUGGACAAUGGGCGAAAGCCUGAUCCAGCAAUGCCGCGUGAGUGAUGAAGGCCUUAGGGUUGUAAAGCUCUUUUACCAGGGAUGAUAAUGACAGUACCUGGAGAAUAAAGCUCCGGCUAACUCCGUG